rnacentral:lncRNA from 1 species
CACAGAUCUAUCUCCUUGAACAAGAUGUUGGAGUCUUUGAUGGAGUUCUCGAUAAUAGUAUGGUGGAACAAACCGUUUUCGUAAGAUACGCUUCAUUUCAACCCAAGUAGUAACAGGUUGCUCUCUAUAAAGAAUCCUGCUUUUACAUAAUUGAUUCCACCAUGUUAGUGCAUAAUUAAUGAACUCAGCGACAGCGUAUGUUACCUUUUUCUCAUCAGAGUAAUUGUAACAAGCAAAGAUUGCUUCCAUCUUUUCCUCCCAAUCAAGGUAAGCAUCAGGAUCAUUCUUCCCUGAGAAAGAAGGAAAUUUUGGUUUGGGGGUGUCAUUGUUUCGUUCCACCCUUUCUCUAGGUACAUACUUGGACUCAAAGUCAUCAUCAAACACAUGGUACUCCCUUCGUUUAAAAGUUCGAUCGCGCGAAUUUGAUCGGCUUAUAAAGGCUUCGUUCAACUUCUUGUAAUUAUCGGCAAUGUAUCUCUCUUGAGUUGUAAGUUUUGUAUCAAGAUACUCCCUUUGCUCUUGUAUCAUCUGGGUCAUGCGAUGUUCGACUUGAGUUUGCAACUUUUUCAUCUCUUUUUGUAACAACUCGACCAAAGGAUCGUUAUCUCUUUUUUGCUCAUCCUCUUCAUUUUUACUAGUUUGGGAUCUAGUGAUCGGCAUGGUAUCUGUGAAAAAAUCACACAAACAGGAACAAGAAAAUAAUAAUAAUAACCUCACUCGUUAGCUCUUAAAAGAAUAACUCUCUGAAUGAUUCAAAACUUGUAAAUAUGUUUAGAGAGGGUUACUAAUCAAGAUCAAAUAAUGGAGGUGCAAACUUCAAAGAAACAAUGAAGAUCCUAAUUACUUUAAGAGGCCAAUAAACUUGACGAUGCAAUUUGUAAUGGAGGCUACACGGAUAAAGGAAUUGUGCGUGCCUUUAAUAUCUGCUAACACAAGAAGAAACAAUGUGUUAGAAAGCGUAAGAGAAAAAAAAACGUAGACCUGCAACGAUCCCUAACUCUAAAGUCAAAGAAAAGCUUUAAUAAGAAGAAAAUUUAAGAAAACUCUACCCAAUUUAAAGGAAAACAAAAAAUCGGAAACGUUUGGUGUGUUAAGAUUUUCAAAAAUUGAAGCUUUAAUUAUAUUUGAGUCAAGAAAGAAGGGAAAAAAAAUCAAUUUUGGGAAAAAAUAAAAUAAAAAUAAUAACAAUAAUAGGAAAAGAAGAAACCUACGUAUGAAAGGUAGGCAACUUUUUUUUUGCGCUUUUUUUGCGUUUUUUUUUUUGCGCUUUUUACUUUCUUUUUUUGCGCUUUUUUUCUUUUUUGUUUUUUUUGCUGUUUUUGCUGUUUUUUUUGUUUUUAUUUAAAGAAUAAGAGGAGAAUAAACACAAACUUUUUUUAAAAAAAAUCGACGAAACCGAUUAAAAGUGUUUUUGGUAUUUUGACUCGUUUCGGAUUUGAUUUUAACUUCGAAAAUAACACCGAACGGCCUGAAACUGAUACCAACUAAUGCGGAAACCCGAAUCUAGACAGAAGAAAAACACAAAUUAGAAAUAAAACGAGAAUAAAUAAAAUUAGUUAAAUAAUAAAUAAAUAAAAAGGAUAGAUUUGCCCUAUGGAACCCUUGGUUAACUUGUAACCAAAAACGCCAAUGACUUAGCGGCUCCCUAUGAAACCCCUAGAAGAAGAACCUCUAGAAACACCGAUGAACGGGAAAGAAAUUUGAAUAUUUGCAACUCCGAAAUACCCUCAAAAAGUAACAAACUCCAAACUAAAUAGCAAGAGAAGAAUCACUCUACUCUAAAAAAUUUGCCUCACACAAAUUUGAAAAAAACAAAUACUCUUCUUUUUUUAUUCCUCCCCCAAUGUGUAGAAAACAAGCCUAUUUAUAGGUAAAUUACAAGAGUAAUUGAAUCCUAAUAAAACUCUUUAAAAUUAUCUAAGAAAAUAAAUAAAUAAUAACCUAACCAAUAAAAUUACUUAACUCAUAAAUGAUGUGUCCAAACCAAUGACAAUUAAGUAAAUAAUAAUAAUAAUAAUAUACAUAAAAGAUUAAUCCACCAAAUUUAUGGGCUUUCACUAUUUCAAGAUUGGUCCAGUGAAUUGCAUUCUCGUAUUUGUCAAUGUCACGAACAUGAUGAAUUAAAUUUGUAGCAACAAAGUCUUGGACAAAAACAUUUAUCUUUAAUUUUAAUUGUCGUGCCUUACUUCGAAUAAUUGGACCACUAGGAAAAACAACCCCUUGAGUGUCACCUCCUUGGCUCGUAUCAUUUAAUAAUUAAAAGUUAAAUUUAUGCCAAGUUAUAAUUCGAUUAUAUCUAUACUGUUAUCAAUAUAAAAAAUAUAUAAGAUCAAAUACAUUAAAACAUAUUAUUUUAUUUAAAAAUUAAAAAAAUUAUAUGUAAUUUUAAUAAUUGUAUAAAAAGAACAAAUAUAAUAUUAUUAUGACCCCGGAGCCCAUACUUAAUUGAUUAAGCGAAAAUAUCGAUUCAAAAUAUUAUUUUAAAUCAAUUAUAUAUAAAUUAUAAAUGUUAUGAACUAUUAUUUUUAACCGGACCCAAAACCCUACAUCAACCAUCACCGGAGCCUCAUCGGCAGUCUCAACGACCACCCAUCCAACACCGUCUCAACCACCAUCUCAAUAACAAAUUAUACACGAUAACUCCACAAAAUUAUUUUGAGAUUUAGUUAAUCAUUUCAAAAUCAUUCAUCGGUUGAUGAUGAAGAAUGUGAAACUCGAAAUCAAAAGUAAAGCCAAAUUUCAAACGAAAGUACUAGAACUCCAUAGAAAGACGACCGUUUACAUAAGGAUUUUUGCCGAGAAAGCAAAUUCCAAAAACGGAUACCAAACACUAGAUCUAACCUAAUUUCACAAUCAAUCAAGUAAAUACAAACAAUCUAAGCUCUUUCACCUCUAAUCCUCCUAGCAAGCUGGAUAUCCUUGGGCAUGAUAGUAACCCUCUUAGCAUGAAUUGCACACAGGUUAGUGUCUUCAAACAAUCCAACGAGAUAAGCCUCCGCCGCUUCUUGAAGUGCAGCGACGGCGCUGCUUUGGAACCUUAAAUCAGUCUUGAAAUCUUGAGCGAUUUCCCUCACCAGCCUCUGGAAAGGAAGCUUCCUGAUCAACAACUCGGUGCUCUUCUGGUAUUUACGGAUCUCUCUCAAAGCCACGGUUCCUGGCCUGAAACGGUGAGGCUUCUUCACUCCGCCGGUCGCCGGAGCGGACUUACGAGCGGCCUUCGUGGCUAGCUGCUUCCUUGGAGCUUUUCCACCAGUCGACUUCCUAGCUGUUUGCUUCGUACGAGCCAUUGAUGUGAUGAUUUCGAGAUUUGACAAAAUCUGUUUGAUUUAUGAGAAAUUAAAGUAAUUUUCGUAGAGAAAUUUCUUAUGGUCGGAUUUGGAUGGUUUUAGAUUAUAUAUAUAAGGGGAAUUCUGAAGCAGCGGGAAAAGUGAAAUUUUUGAAUUUUGUGCUUUGCGAUUGAAGAAUUUUAAACGGAUGAAUCGAAACCGUAGAGUAGUUGAGUUAUCGACGGCUGAUGAGUUUUGUAAAUGUCGUGAUCCGUGUGCGAUCGAAAACGACCAAUAUGAUUCGUUCAUUCCAAGCAGCAUUGUAAGAGAGGAUCUAAGCUGUCCAUUUACUGAAUCAUAGAUCACGAUCCGUGGGAUGUCCAGCUAGGCAAUGGGAAUAUGGGAUUUUCAGUCUUCACCUUUUAUAUAAUUUUCUUUAAAUCUAUUUGAAUUUAUUUCACACAACAAUUUUAAUUCAUUGGAGGAAAAUAUUGAUCCUAAAAUUUUUAUUGUGACUUUUUAUAAUUUAAAAUUUUAAUAUAAUUAUUUAAUACUAUUUUAUAUUUUUAUUUUUUUAAUUUUUAAAUACUACUUAGACAAAUUUGGACAUAUAAAUAUCAAUAUUCAAAUAAACUUUGACAUUGAUUUGUUUAAGUUUAUUCUAGAUUUUAAUAUUGAUUAAGUCUUAACUCAAAUUGCAUAAAUAAUGUUGUCAAUAUAAGAAAACGUAGAUUCGAGGGUGUUCGAGUGCAUUAUCCUCUAAUUAAUGGAUUUAGAAGUGAUUAUUAAUAGUUUUAAGUAUUAUGUCAAAAAAAACAUAUAAAUAGAAAUAAAAUUAUUUAAAAAAAUCCAAUUUUAAUUUUUUAUUAUCUUUUAUAGUUAUACAUUUAAAACUCUACUAAUUUUUUGCAAUGCUACAUAAACAACCAUCGCUAACAUAGACCACCGAGACAACAUCAAAAUGAUUAGCUCAAUGAAUAUUAAUGGCCAGAUCAAAACAUAAAUGGCCAACAAUGAAAACCGUUAGUAAAAGAAAUUAAUUAAUGCAUAUUUAGCGUUUGGAAUAAUAUUUGAUACACAGUCGUUAUAUAAAUCUUAUGUACUAUUAAUAAAUAAUAAAAUUAUGUAUUAUUAUUGAAUUAAACAAACAAAUAAAAGAUUUAUAAAUAUAUAGUAAUAAUUUUAUUCAAACAUAAUUAAUAUAAAUAAAUAUUAAUAAUUCUCGAAUUUAAGAUAUUAAAGUUAAAAUUUUAAUAUUUAUUUAUAAUACAUCUAUUAUUUAUAAGAUGUAAUGUUAUUAUUAAUCAAUUAUACACAUAAUUUACAAAUCAAACAAGAUUCAAGUCAAAACCCUAACAAAAUUCUAAAACGUAACAAACAACAAAGCCUCAACAGCUGCCGACAAAAUCACUCCAACCGCUGCCAUUAUUUUAAGGGGGAAAAAAAUCCUUCCCUUCACUAUUUAUCCAUAUGAAAUUUACAGCCAAUCAAUAUAAUAGACUAAAACAAAUUUGUUUAUAAUAAUUCCAAUAAAUUCCUUUGAGGUUUGAAUAAUAUGAUUAUUCAACAUAAAUUUGUUUACUGAAUAUGAAGAAUGUCGCAUUCGAACUUCAGAAUCGCUUCAUUUGCAAAUUUUAGAAUUUAUUAAACGUUGUUAGCGAAAAUUCUUAAUCACAACUGGAAAUGUUCAAUUUACUAGCAAUAAAAUUUAGAAGGUAUAGAUAACUUUAAACAAACGAAAAUAUUAAACCUCCAUUGAAAUACACCUCCGUUUACAUAAAGAUUUUGCCGAGAAAGCAAAUUCCAGAAACUAAAUCCAAGAUCUAGAUCUUUCUAAAUUUUAUAAUCAAUCAAGUAAAUAGAGGCAACCUAAGCUCUCUCACCUCUAAUCCUCCUAGCAAGCUGGAUAUCCUUAGGCAUGAUUGUAACUCUCUUAGCAUGAAUUGCACACAAAUUAGUGUCUUCAAACAGUCCGACAAGAUAAGCCUCCGCCGCUUCUUGAAGAGCAGCGACGGCGCUGCUUUGGAACCUCAGAUCGGUCUUGAAAUCUUGCGCGAUUUCCCUCACCAACCUCUGGAAAGGAAGCUUCCUGAUCAACAGUUCAGUGCUCUUCUGAUACUUACGGAUCUCUCUCAAAGCAACAGUUCCUGGCCUGAAACGGUGAGGCUUCUUCACUCCACCGGUCGCCGGAGCGGACUUACGCGCGGCCUUUGUAGCUAGCUGCUUCCUCGGAGCUUUUCCUCCGGUUGAUUUCCUAGCUGUUUGCUUGGUACGAGCCAUAGAUGAGAUGAUUCGGAGAUAAGAGGUAAAAUCUGUUUGGCUUGCGAGGAAAUUAAGAAAUUUUCGCAGAGAAAAUUCUGAUGGUGGGAGUUAAUUGAUUUUGGGUUACAUAUAUAAAAGGUGGAAGUCCGGAGCAGCGGGAAAUGUGAAAAUUUUGAAUUUUGUGCUUCGUAAGUAAAGAUUUUUAAAUGGGCAAAUCUGAACCGUAGAUUUUGUAAGUUAUCGACGGUUCCUGUGUUUAUCCAUGUGCGAUGGAAAGUGCCAAUAAGAUUCGUUCUAUUAAGCGGCUUUUUUGUUAAAGUUUUGGCUCCUUUCAAUUUUUUAUUGUUCGAGGAGUGUAAGAGAGGAUCUAGGCCGUCCAUUGACUAAAUCAUGGAUUGCAAUCAGUGGGACAUCCAACUAGCCAAUAGGAAAACGGGAUUCAUCCGCCACCUUUUUUUUUUAAUCCAAUUAGGUGGCAUAAUAAUUUUUUAUAAUAACUAAUGACGACCAUAACAACAAAAAAUAAUUUAAUCUUUAGAUUAAAAAUAAUAAUUUUAAGUCAAAUUAUUGAUAUCAUCAAAUAAAAAUAUUUAUGAAUUUUUUUUUUUGUCGAUUGAGUCUUAGCUCAAUUGACAUAAGCAUUAUUGUCAAUGUAGGAGGACAUGAGUUCAAAUAUGUUAAAAGGCAUUAACCUCGUAUUUAUAAGUUGGGGAGCGGUAAUGAUCUUUUAAGUCUUUAUUGUUUUAUACCGUUAAUAAAAUAAUAGUACUAUUUAGCAGAUUUCUUGCGUGACGGUAUUUCUAAUCAUAUGUUGUUUUAGAAAAUUAAUUGUCAUUCACUUAUCUUUCCAUACUAGUCAAUAUGUUUAAAAUCUAUCAAUUAAAUCAUCUAAGUAACGUUUUAAAAUUUAAAUUUAGAUUUGACUUUGGACUUUGUUGACUUGAGACAGUUGUUAAGUAAUAAGUAAGUUAUGAACAAAAGUGACUGUGGAAGUGAGCACUCCUGCAAGCACUGCGAUAGCACAAAAUAAGGGAUAACAAAGUUUAUUUACGUAGUUUGGUUUCCCUACGUCUGUCAAGCUUAAUUUAAUGAGAAGAAUUCACUAUCUUUAAACAAUUACAACUAAUGAACCUAAACCUAUCACUUCCUAGUGAUGAUUCAUCACUCUUGUGCUUUCGAAGACUAGAUCUCUCGCCACUAAAUUCUCUCCCCAAGAACUUAAUCUAUGAAAACCGUGACACAACUUUUAUAAUCUCAAAUGCACUCUCACAAAUAACGGUCAUCACAUUAACAGACAAGUUCUCUUAAUUAACUAGUACAACAACCUAUAAAAUUCUCUCAAUUAAUAUAAUAAACAACAGCUAAAAUAGUUGGAAACAAUAUUAUAUUAACAACCAAGGUAAAAUGGACUGUUGGUAGAUAAGUCUUCAAUGUUUCGAUCCAAUCUAACUUCCUUAAUUUAAGGGAUUCGAUAUAAGUGAUUCGAUUCGAUCUUCAAAAUAAGUUCCUCCAAGUGAUAUGAUUUUCGUUUAUGGACUUGAUUCAGUCCAUAAUAUAAACUUAAUCCAAAGAUACUGUUCAAUAAAUUAACGAUAUUCUAAAUAUCGGAAGUUGUUUUGUUGUAGUGAUUAAGAAAAUGGACAUUUAAACACAUUGCAAUAACUUCAAAUAUUUAAAAAGUUUUCAAAUUUGGAUGUUGUGACGUAUAAAGAUUUAGGUUUCAUCUCUAGCGACCACGUCCUUGUCUUCUACUUUAAUUUUUUUUUAUAAAAAUUUAUUAUACAAUUUUUUUUUUAAUAUUUAAAUUCAAAUUUUCACUCAACUCUAAAUGUAAAUUAGAUUUUAAUGCGCACAAAGUUGACCCUCGACCCUCAAAUUUAAAUAAUUAUUAUCAAAUCAAAUAGUUUAAGUUAUUGAAUGAGUCAAAUUUGAACAUCUCGAAUUUAAAUCCAAUAACUCGAGCAGCAUAAGUGUUCUUGCCUUGGGGCAAUGAAUUUUUUCUAUUGCAAGGUAUUUCACGAAUCAAAAUAUAGAGCCAGCUCGAAUCCCAUGGGCCAUAGAGGAGAUAUUUCUGAGUUUUUCCUUGAAUGAGCAUUCUCUAUCAGAGUUGCUAAGCUUGCCUAAACAUAACACACGAUUAGCAGUCUCUCGUACUUGACAUGAAAGCCGAAAUCAUCAAGAUCUUUCCUUUUAGUUUAAAGUCAGCCUUCGGGGGCUCUUCAACUUUGAGUUCAACCUUGUUUUUCAUCUUCCCUCCCAAAAGGUGUUAGCCUUGUCUCCUCGACAUGUAUCAAUUAGGCAAUGGAGAAAAUUGCUUCUUUAAAGGUGGCUUGAAUUGGCUAGUCUUUGAUUAUCAAGGGGCUAUCUAUUGUGGAGCAGGGUCCUUGAUUCACGACAAGGAGUUUGUCAUCUUCCUUCUCAAAGAUGAAAAUGAACUCAAUGGAGCCAUCUGAAGGCCAAGCUCGGGUCAGAAUGCUUUCCAAUUGCUUAAUCCUAGGUUGGUUUUUUAAGGACAAUCUUUCUAAAUAAGGGGAGUGUCUUUCCAUCCGCAGCUUGUAAUCCCAUUGUUUCAAGUUCAUACACUAAUAAUAGUUCUGAGGAAAUGGCAUCCGAUGUGUUGAGAAUGAAACUAGGCUAUAUAGAAGAAAAGGGACAGUAUGGUGGUACAAAAGAGGAUUACCCUAGAAAGAAAAAGACUUACACCAAGGGAUGUAUGUAAAUUGAUGGCACAGCUGAACCAAAAGGCUAAGGGCUAGAGGGUGAAAAGAAGUCAAGCGACAAAGGUAGUACCACCCCUUCUGAAGUUCCAAGAUCAUCAUUGUAUGGAACACAAGGGGUCUAAAUGUUCCCUUAAACAAUAAAGAAAUAAAGAAAGAAUGUUAAGAGGGGUUAACAAAUUGUAGGUGAAAAUCAUAGGACUCUUGGAAACUAGAGUUAGAGAGCAUAAUGUUACUUUAGAACACAAGUUUACACACAAUAAAAGUACCAUAAAAAUCUUUGUACUAAGACUUGAAUUAUAUUUUAGCUUUAUUUAAAAAAUAGUAAAUUAAUCAAUGUAAGUUAAAUUAAAGAGCUAAUCAAUUCUUCUAUUAAAAAAAUUCUAUUUUUAUUCUUAAAAAUUAAUUUUAUACAUCAAAAUAAGGUAUACAUCACACACUAUAUCUAAUUAUCUGACUAUUUUGUCAACCAUAUUUAACAGUAAAAAUAGAUAAAAAAUAAUAAUAAAAGAAGCCAAUUUGCUAUUUAAUUCAACAUAUACUAACAAAUUUACCUAUUUUUUUAAGUAAAAAAAAUAAAAUAAAUUUAAUACGACUCCUAUUAUAAAGACCUUCAUGUCUUUACUGCAAGAAUUUGGCCACAAUAAAUUCGCAGAUUGUUGAUCUUGAUGUUGAUCAUGAUGUCUCUAACUAGCUGCCCACCCAUUUUGUGGAUUCUAAUGAAUCUAUCGCAUUUUCUUAUCUAUCUUAUCUAUUGUUUAUGGCAAUAACAAUAGUGACUAGUGAAUUUUGUAUAGGACAGGCUACAGGCUUUGCAACUAGUUAGCAUUGGUAAUAACCUUUGCGGCAUUAUUGCCUUCCCUACCAAGUUUGUAUUGAACCCAUGGACCAUCCUUCCAUAAGUCGACUCUUGCACUUUUCUCUACUAUCACCAGGUUGAAUUAUGAUUUGAUUAUGGUAGGAGAGCUUCGCAAUUAAGGGACAAUACUAUGAACCUGUAACAGCACUAAUACAACAUAUUCAACAAGUUCUGUUAAAACAUCGAUUAAAACUUCAUUGAUACUAAGAUGUGCUAAAAGAACAAUUCAAGAUUAUCCUUUUUUCCUCAGUUCAUAAGAAAACAUAAUAGGACACAACGACAUUUUUUUAAGGUCGAAUACUAAAACACCGGCUCAAUAGUGGCACGACUUAAUCAGUCAAAGCCUCUAAAGGAGCGACCACCACAUUCCAAGAGGCCCAUCACACCGAAUAUGAGUUACGUAAUAUCUUUAGAUUAGGAGCUUCUCAAUGGCAUCCUGCAUUUCACAAAUGAAGAACAUAAGCAAAUGCAAACGGCCAUAAGUUUUAUAAUGGAAGAAGUUUGUUUCGGAAAGGAAAGUAUACCUUGAGCUGUUGUAUUUGCGAUUUCAACUGGCUUCCUUCAUUUGAUGUGACAGAGCAUGCGAUUACAGGUCUUGUGACACCGCAUGCUCGGCCAAGUGCUUGCUUUGAAGGAACAAAUACAUAUGGGACAUUCUGCAGGAGUUCAAACAGAGAGGUUAUCAUUGUAAUCUUUAAGCAAAAGCCAUUGGAAAAUAAUUUUUCCUCCAUGGAAAGGAAUCAAAGUCAUGGCAGUCUAUGUUUGUUUCCAUAAUAAACUUUAUAAUGAGCUAUAUGAACCAUCAAAAUAUCAUAGGAAUGCUUCAUAGCGCAAGAAUGGAAAACAUGUCAUAUAAAACAUAGAGUGCAAUAAUCUUAUGUUAAAUUCCUAUGUCAUUGACUCUUCAUUUUUUCUUGAAAUACCCUUGUUCAACACUCAUUUCCAAUGCAUAUCCAAACAUGAGUACGGGUAUAUGAUCUUCCAAAAUCCAUCCAAAUACAGGAAAAAACUUGAAAUAAAUUGGGUAUACCCAUGUUGGAUACAUAUGGAUAUAUAUACUCACUGAUUCCUCAGCCUAUAUUGGCUCAUGCUUUUGCAGAAGAAUCAAAGUUCCAAAUCCAUAGCUAGGGACAUUACUAACUUGAAGCAAUCAAACUAUUUGUCAAAAAAACUCUCAAAGUUACAUAAUUUGCAAGACCGGUUCCUGUAAUUAACUCAAGAAACACAACAAAACAUUAUACAACCAUUAGCAUGUCAACCAUAAACAUGAAACAAGCAAAGGUACGCUCCAAAAAUGUUCAAAAUCCGGUUAUUUCAUAUAGUUUUAUGCACAAACCUUUAGCUACCUUCUACUAUCAUACUAUACUGUAUACAUUACAUAACAAGAAAAUAAACGAAAAUAUCAUAAAUAAAUCCCAUAAAACUAAUUUACCUUAUCUUCAGCAAGCAAAGGAAGAUGCAAAAGAAUCUCAAGAGGCUCAGUAUCGGCAGCCAUCACAACAAACUCCGAUAUACCUCUGUUAAGUGUCUUAGUAGCUGAAACCCAACAAAAUAAAGAAACCCCCGUAUCAGAACACAACCACAAAAAAAAAAAAGGAAAAAUGGGUAUCGUUCCAAACCUUCAUUAGCUCCCUUUUUGAGCUGCUUGUAG